UACGAGGGGGGCGAGCGUUGUUCGGAAUUAUUGGGCGUAAAGGGUGCGUAGGCGGUUUGGUAAGUCUUAUGUGAAAUCUACAGGCUCAACUUGUAGUCUGCAUGAGAAACUGCCGGGCUUGAGUAUGGGAGAGGUGAGUGGAGUUCCUGGUGUAGCGGUGAAAUGCGUAGAUAUCAGGAGGAACACCUGUGGCGAAAGCGGCUCACUGGACCAUAACUGACGCUGAUGCACGAAAGCUAGGGGAGCAAACAGG
rnacentral:rRNA from 1 species